CUUCAACGACCCCAGCCACAACGGGCGUUCCGCAUCCCGCUGCCGGCCGUAGGUCGCCAGCAGUGCUUGGGCUUC
rnacentral:antisense_RNA from 2 species